GACAGAGGCCUCAAGCGUUAGGCGGAAUCACUGGGCUUAAAGCGUGUGUAGGCGGAUCGUUAAGUGUCUUGUGAAAUCCCACGGCUCACCCGUGGAACUGCUGGGCAUACUGGCGAUCUUGGGCCAACUAGGGGCAACUGGACAAGCGGUGGAGCGGUGAAAUGCGUAGAUAUCGCUUGGAACGCCAAAGGUGAAAACAGGUUGCUGGGGUUGUGCCGACGCUGAGACACGAAAGCCAGGGGAGCAAACGGG
rnacentral:rRNA from 1 species